rnacentral:rRNA from 1 species
AUAUUAAUAAGCGGAGGAAAAGAAACUAACCAGGAUUCCCCUAGUAACGGCGAGUAAAGCGGCAAAAGCCCAAAAUGGAAAUCUUGGCGAAAGCCACGAAUUGUAAUCUAUAGAGGUUCAGCUCAACGGGCGGUGGCGCAGAAGUGACCUCGAACGGUCCGCCAGAGAGGGUGACAGCCCCGUAUGUGGUGCCACUGCUUAACGAGCUGGGUUUCGAAGAGUCGGGUUGUUUAGUAUUGCAGCCCUAAGUGGGAGAUAAACUUCUUCUAAGGCUAAAUAUUUACGGGAGACCGAUAGCGCACAAGUA